AAGCACAGUACUUCUGGGGUGCUGCCUCACGGAUGUCAGCUUUGCUGGUCCAGGUCAAGAUACUACCAAAAGCUCAGGAACUAAAUUUCCUGGAGGACUGAGCCUCUUCCCAGGUUCUUCUCUGCCUUGCUGUAUAGGGUUUAAUUUCAAACUCUAAAGUGGGAAGAAACCUUGGGCCCAUGCUAGGGCAGGGGCGAGGGAUUUGCCUUUUCAACAACCGCCUCGAGUGGAUUUGAUGCAGCUGGUUCAAACUACAGUUUGAAAAACAAGAGUAGAAUGCGGUAAGAAUGAUGAUACAAGAGUCAGCUGUUAACAUGUGUCCUGUUCUGGCAGCUUUGGAGGCUAAGGCAACGUCCGGGCUUAUUCACACCCUUCAUUAUUUCAACAGCGACGGAAUCGCUGAGUCAGUCCCUGAGGCACCAGUUCGCAGGGAGUGGGGGCGGCCAGGCGACGCCGACUCCACAUAAGCCACAGGUCUCCGAAGCUCCUCGAGGAUUUCCACCGGCUUCACUUGAGCCACAGGUCCGCUUGGCUCCUCGGAGCGUCCGGCACGCAUCCUCAGCGUUCAGCCAGCACCCGCUCCCUCAGAAGCCGAGAGCGGCAGACGCGCCGGUAACCCCGGGGGCACCGGCCGGAAGCGCCCUCCGGGCCCGCCCCCUGCCCACCGGAGCCGGAAGCCGACGACCCAGCCGGUACGUCGCCCUCCGCGGGCCGCAGCGCACCAUGCUCCCCGGUCCCUGCCGCCUCCUCAGGGUCCCCGUAGCACCCGUCGCGGCCCUGGCUGUGGCGCUGGUCUCGUCGCUCUCUCGCUGCUCCCUCCUGGAGCCGGAGGACCGCGUGGCCUCGGCGCUCAGCCCCUACUUCGGCACCAAGACUCGCUACGAGGAUGCCAACCCCGGGCUGCUGCUGGACCCCGAGGCGCCGCGGCGGGAUCCGCAGCUGCUGGAGGAGACCUGCACCCCUGUGCAGCUGGUCGCCCUCAUCCGCCACGGCACCCGCUACCCGACGACCAAACAGAUCCGCAAGCUGCGGCAGCUGCACGGGCUGCUGCAGGCCCGCGGGUCCGGGGCUGACGUGACUCGCGCUACCGGCGGCUGCGACCUGGGCGCUGCGCUGGCCGACUGGCCUCUGUGGUACGCGGACUGGAUGGACGGGCAGCUGGUGGAGAAGGGGCGGCAGGACAUGCGACAGCUCGCCCUGCGCCUGGCCUCUCUUUUCCCGGCCCUCUUCUGCCGAGAGAACUGCGGCCGCCUGCAGCUAGUCACCAGCUCCAAGCACCGUUGCGUGGACAGCGGCGCUGCCUUCCUGCAGGGGCUGUGGCAGCACUACCAUCCUGGGUUGCCGCCGCCCGACGUCGCAGACAUGGAGUUUGGACGUCUCAGAAUUAAUGAUAAAUUAAUGAGGUUCUUUGACCAUUGUGAGAAGUUUUUAACUCAAGUGGAAAGGAAUGCUACAGCUCUUUAUCAUGUAGAAGCCUUCAAAACUGGACCAGAAAUGCAGAACAUUUUAAAAAAAGUUGCAGGUAUUUUGCAAGUGCCAGUCAACAACUUAAAUGCAGAUUUAAUUCAGGUAGCUUUUUUCACCUGCUCAUUUGACCUGGCAAUUAAAGGUGUUAAAUCUCCUUGGUGUGAUGUUUUUGACAUAGAUGAUGCAAAGGUUUUAGAAUAUUUAAAUGAUCUGAAACAAUAUUGGAAAAGAGGUUAUGGGUAUACUAUUAAUAGUCGAUCCAGCUGCACCCUAUUUCAGGAUAUCUUUCAGCACUUGGACAAAGCAGUUGAACAGAAACAAAGAGUUCCGAGGCUACUUUUUGCUUUCUCCGUCCCUCCUCCACCCCACAUUGAGAUGGUACACAGUUCUCAACCAAUUUCCUCUCCAGUCAUCCUUCAGUUUGGUCAUGCAGAGACCCUUCUUCCACUGCUUUCUCUCAUGGGCUACUUCAAAGACAAGGAGCCCCUAACAGCUUACAAUUAUAAGGAGCAAAUGCAUCGGAAGUUCCGAAGUGGUCACAUUGUACCCUAUGCCUCAAACCUAAUAUUUGUGCUUUACCAUUGUAAAAAUGCUAAGACUCCUAAAGAAGAAUUCCAAGUGCAGAUGUUACUGAAUGAAAAGGUGUUACCAUUGGCUCACUCACAGGAAACUGUUUCUUUGUAUGAAGACCUGAAGAACCACUACAAGGAAAUCCUUCAGAGUUGUCAUCCCAGUGAGGAAUGUGAACUACCAAAGGUGAACACAUCUGAUGAGCUAUGAGUAACUGGCAAACAUUUUUAAUUCAUCAAGAAUCUCCAGGGAGGGAUCCCACACUUGGAGUAGGUGCGCAGUCCCUGGCUACAGAAAGCUUUAACAUUACUUGGGUAUUUCUGUCUUUUCAAAGAAGAACGUUGUUUCUUUUUGAGUCUAAACAUGGAUGUGUAAGAAAUGAUUCUUCACUGAAGCAGCUCUCUUAAGGGAAAAAAAUCUACUCAAAGAGAUAACUGACACUAUAAAUUUUUACAUAAAUUAAAUUCUUACUAUUUAUAUAAGAAAUCUCACAGUGAGAUUAUGAUUUCAAAAUGAUACUUGAAAGUUCUGGAGUAACAAAAUAUUAUGUCAAUUGAACAUAACUUGAUUGGACUAAGUCUGGGAACGUUACCAGUUGUACUGCAGUUCUUUCUUUUUUCCUCAGGCAGCACAGUUCUAGUAUUGUCUUUCUUAAUCAAAAGUGUUAUGAUUCACUGGGAGUAUCGCUUUUGAAGAAAGCUAACAUCUCUCUAGUUGAGAAUUUAAAAGAACAUCUUCACUGAAAGAAGACAAAAAUAUAAUAAGAUAAAUAUCUUUGUUAAUAGUAUUUAUAAAGUAAUUGAACACUGUUUCAAUAAUUCCUUUUAACCUCCUAGUAGGUCUUGCAAAGCCGUUUUAAUCACUUGUCAUGCCUGUCUCACACAUAUAACAGUGGGAGAACAAAGAGGACCUUAGCAACAAGACAGAAGAAUAGAACCAAAGUGUCUCAAGUCCAUUGCUUAGCGUUUUUUAAAAAUUAUGUCAUUUUGCUUGUAUUUUUAUAUUUUGCUAUUAUUUGAAAUAUAUCUUUUGAUGGUUUAAUUUCUUUUUUUAAUGUUCUUUAUUUUUGUAAAAGACUUCAUUCUGGUGGGCUUAGUUUCACAGAUAUGAACCCAUUUCAGAGAAAUAGUUCUAAGUUCUGUCAAAUGCCAGGAAAGUGUUUGCUCUAGUAAUAAACAGAAUCUUGUGACUUUACUACCAGGUCUUCUCUGUUCUCCAUAUUGAUACACAAUCAGUAAUUGAUGGUAAAAGGCUAGCAUUUCAGGCAGUUUUGACUAAAUCAGGCAAUAUAAGGAAAUUUUCUUCUAAUAGAAAUUUCCUCAGAUUUUCACUUCCUAAGGAAAAAUGGAAAUCCAUUUUAUUAAAAAUCUAGGUAAAAAAGCGUUACAACUAUAUUGAAAUUAUAAAAGAAGCAUAGAUCAUUGCUCUUCAGAUGAAUGAUGUUCAUAAAAUAGGUGAUUAGCUGAUAAAUACUACUGAUGCAUCAAUACACUGCUGAUUGUUCCUGCAAAAGCCUGUCAUUAAUCUUUCUUUUUUUCUUUUUUAUUUAUUUUUUUAAACUCUUUAUUGGAAUAUAUUUGCUUUACACUCUUGUACCCGUCUCUGAGGUACACCAAAGUGAAUCAGCUGCAUCUACACACACAUCCCCUUUUUUUAAAUUUGUAAGUAGGCAGCUGAGAAGAGAACAGUAUAAUGAGCAUUCAUGCCCGUCAUACUGUUUUAUCAAAAUUAACAUUGUCAUUAGGUUUAGAUCCAAAUAAGAAGACUUGAGGGCUUUUGUAUGCCUCCCUCACACCCUGCCUUAGAGGUAACCACCAAUUUGAAGUUCAGUAUUCACCAUUCCAUUGCAUUCUUGAGUCUGAAAACUGGAAGUAUUUUGGGAAUUUAAAAUUUUCUAUGAAAGGACUUACACCAUGCAGAUCAUUCUUGAAAAAUUGAUUUCUUUUAAUUGCUGUAUUUGUUUUUCAAGACUUCUUGAUCCUGAUCAUUUGUCACAAAAUUAACACCAUCAGUUCAUCAAUACCUGUUGUGUACAAAUACUAGACUCAGUCUAUGGGCAUGUUGAAGUUGAAUGAACCUAGUUUUUCUUUCAAGAGUGUAUCUUUGAAGACCUUAAAACAAAUUACUUGAUGUCUGGAACAUUAAAUAAUUUGAUUCAUAAGCUUUUCAUAGACUAUUAAAGUUUUAUAGGAAUUGUUUAAUUUAUUGGUAAAUAGGACCAUAUAGUUAACAUUGUAGUUAUUGGUAUGUAAAAUAUUUCAGGAUAGAGGGUGUGUGGUCCUUUUUCACUAAUGUUACAGGUUGUGACAUUACUCUGGUGCUAUUAUUCUCACUUAGGAAAUGCCUGAAACAGGAAUCUCAUGAUAAAAGCAAAAGGUCUUAUCUAGGAUAGGAUAUAUAAAAAGUUGAACAUUGAAAAAUAACCUUUGACCAACACGAGUUCAUUCAUGAUAGGUGACCAAGUAAGUUACUCAGCUAAGCCAAAAUUUAAUCACUGUCAGUUCUGAGAUUUUGGUCAGUUAAAUAGCCUAGAACAUUAGCUAUUUUUCUGUCUGGUCUACAACGUGAUGUGUGCAGUGCAUUGUACUUAGAGUUUUUUAUAGUCAUUUUAUCAUUUUGAAGUUUCUGCUCUCCAACACAUAAUCAUGCACUUGAAAUUGUUUUUGUAUAUAAUCUUGAUCUUAAUUUUAACACUGAAAGCAAAGCUCAACUUAUAAAGGAAAAGGAGCUUCAUUUUUUUCAGCCAAAAUCAACUUUUAUGAUAUCUUUGAGUGCUUUCCUUUUGUAAAAUGUAGAAUUGAUGCAUGCCCUUAAAUAUUUGUGAGUUACAUACAACCAAACCAGAAUCUGUAAGUGUAAAUUUUUGGAAUAUGUUUCUCUAAGGUGGUAUUUCAUAUAGUUCAUUAAUGAUCCUUGGAAUUUGGACUGUGUUCUGCCAAAUGUAAGCUGAAAAUAAAUAUUUGCAUUACAAUAUAAUUUGCCUAUAUCUGGCUCUUCUCCUGAACUUACCCAAUCAUUUAAUUCUCAUAGAAUCACAGCUCACUGAAUUCUCUCCUAUUCUUUUUCUCUCACUCAGGCAUUUCCUUGCACUCACCUAUCAGCCCAAUCUACCCUUAAGCACCUUCAUGUUAAUCAAGUGAGAAGACUAGUCUUGGUGAGACAAGAUAGUGCUUUUUUUCUUCUGUCUGCAUCGUUACUCCCUGAAAUUUUCUUGUCACUCUUUGUGGGAAGACAUUCGGGAACCUUUCUGAAACCUUGAAAAUGUUAAAGUAUGUGGGCCGAGCGAUGGGAUUCAGAAUGUCCUGCUUGAGCAGUGGAGGAACUGAGGGUGCGGGGCGUGGAGACUAAUAUCACCCUGUUUGGCCCUGAAGGAUGGCUGGUUAGCCAAAGACGGGUAAGAUUCCUCAGAGGAGGAACAACCUAAGACAGGCACAGCCGUAGAGGGGCCAACAGGGGUGGUGCAUAGAGCCUUCCUUAUAUCACCGUGUUUGGCCCUGGAGGAUGACUGGUUAGCCAGAGACGGGUAAGAUUCCUCAAGGAAGGAACAACCUAAGACAGGCACAGUCUCAGAGGGGCCAACACGGGUGGGGCACAGACCCCUAAUAUCUGAGAGAGGUCUCCUGCCCCUAGGGCUGUUUUGCUCUCCACGCCCAGCUCAAAUCCACACCUGCUCAAGACCCAGGAAGUAAACAAAGAUAAUUGCCUCAGUCAUGUGAGGCCUUUGAUUGUUUAUGGGUGUAACCUGAGAAUGUUAGCCCACGAACUCAAUAAAAGCAACCUGGGAUGAGUCAGCAGGGCUCUUGAUCCGAGAGGUCUUGAGCCCCCCGGUCCCACUUUUCUCUUCAGUCUGUGUCUGUGUCUUCUUCAAGCUUGCGGCACCCGUCACUUGCCUCGAGUC